rnacentral:rRNA from 1 species
UACGUAGGGGGCAAGCGUUGUCCGGAAUCAUUGGGCGUAAAGCGCGUGUAGGCGGUCCGGUAAGUCCGCUGUGAAAGUCCAGGGCUCAACCCUGGAAUGCCGGUGGAUACUGUCGGGCUCGAGUCCGGAAGAGGCGAGUGGAAUUCCUGGUGUAGCGGUGAAAUGCGCAGAUAUCAGGAGGAACACCGAUGGCGAAGGCAGCUCGCUGGGACGGUACUGACGCUGAGACGCGAAAGCGUGGGGAGCAAACAGG